CAGCGCCGCGGGAAUACGUAGGGUGCGAGCGUUAAUCGGAAUUACUGGGCGUAAAGCGUGCGCAGGCGGUUGUGCAAGACAGAUGUGAAAUCCCCGAGCCUAACUUGGGAACUGCAUUUGUGACUGCACGGCUAGAGUGUGUCAGAGGGGGGUAGAAUUCCACGUGUAGCAGUGAAAUGCGUAGAUAUGUGGAGGAAUACCGAUGGCGAAGGCAGCCCCCUGGGAUAACACUGACGCUCAUGCACGAAAGCGUGGGGAGCAAACAGGAUUAGAUACCCGAGUAGUCCCUGUCUCUUAUACA
rnacentral:rRNA from 1 species